rnacentral:rRNA from 1 species
CACCGCGGUUAUACGAGAGGCCCAAGUUGACAAACGCCGGCGUAAAAUGUGGCUAUAUACAGUAUUGCACUAAAGCUAAACAUCUUCAAAGCUGUUAUACGCACCCGAAGACAGGAGGCCCCUCCACGAAAGUGGCUUUAAACAACAUUAGCCCACGAAAGCUAGGGAACAAACUGGGAUUAGAUACCCCACUAUGCCUAGCCUUAAACAAAAGCAACCACCUACACCUUUUGCUUGCCAGGGAACUACAAGCCCCAGCUUAAAACCCAAAGGACUUGGCGGUGCUUUAGACCCACCUAGAGGAGCCUGUUCUAGAACCGAUAACCCCCGUUAAACCUCACCCUCUCUUGUUCUCCCCGCCUAUAUACCGCCGUCGUCAGCUUACCCUGUGAAGGGCACAUAGUAAGCAUAAUUGGUACAACCUAAAACGUCAGGUCGAGGUGUAGCGUACGAGGGGGGAAGAAAUGGGCUACAUUUACUGGACCAGUAAACACGGAUAAUGCCUUGAAACAGACAUUUAAAGGAGGAUUUAGCAGUAAGAGGAGAAUAGAGCGCCCCUCUGAAACUGGCCCUGAAGCGCGCACACACCGCCCGUCACUCUCCCCCACAAUAUAAUAAUAAACAUAUAACUAAAGAAUAACUUCAAUAAAGGGGAGGCAAGUCGUAACAUGGUAAGUGUACCGGAAGGUGCACUUGGAAAAACCAGAGCGUAGCUAAA